GGGUAAAUGUCAUGGGAGCACCAGCACAGGAACGAUGGAGACUGAAUUUACAAGUAGAGCAACGGUAUGUUGCACCUUCUUCAUGACCAUAAGUUCCGCAUUUGGACUUUGGUUGAUCAUUAUAGCUAGUGAGUAUGAGGGGGUGAUUUGGGUGAAAAUGGAGUUGUAUCCUUCGCGGAAGAGUGAAACAAGUCUCGUCGAUGAAGUAAUUGCAUAGCUGGCAAAUGUAACCAGACAAAGCCUGGCUUGAACAUAUGCAACAACUCAUGAUCGAUGCCUCAUUCGUUUGUUUGAUUGCU
rnacentral:lncRNA from 1 species